UCGAAUACUCCUAUUUUAGAGGGUUAAUGAACAGCCACCCAGCACACAUCGCACCCCUUUGGCCAGAAUGUUCUACUUUCAACUCCAGACUGGCAGUUGGCUCUGUUGGGACUUAAACAAAUAUUGAGCUGACAUACCUGGAGCUGCAGUCUGCUUCCAGCACAUCUCCUGCAUGUUUUAAAUCAUGAACGCAGCUGAUUUAUAAUAUGUUUAUUGCCAGACUUAAAGUCCAUUUUAAAAGAAACAUACAGAUAAAAGAAAAAGAUACAAGAAAAACACAAGAAAAGAAAGGAUACCAAUUAACAUUGAUACCAAUAAAAGCCUAUAUAAAAUCACAGGAUAUAACUGCAGUGGAGGUAAGGGACAACAAAACUAACUAGUUGAGAUAAAUCCACCCAAACAUUUUAACCAGUGCAUUCUCAGCCUAGACAUAUAACGAGAGCAGCUCACAGUGGGAUUUGAGAGUGCGACUAUAAUACUAUUGGAAGACUCUUGCAGCCGUCUCAUAAACUUGAACAUUAAAUUUCUUAGAAGUGCCUUAAAUGUGCGCACGCUCACAGAAACACACGUUUGACUAGCAUUGCCUCCCCUGGGAAUUUUGAGGAGGAUUCUCGUUGCAUCAUUGUAUGCCACUUGUAACCUGUGCAAGCUAGACUUUUUAUAGAAUGACCACAGAUAUGCAGUAUAGAGUGGUGUGCAGUAUGCUUUAAAUAAUGCCACUUUAACAGGUUUGGAACAACAGCUGAAUGUCCGUGCAAUGGUGUUUGCUUGCACAUAUAGUUUGCAGCACUGCCUGUAAAUAUCAUCAUCGUCGCUCAUAUUGGCUGUGAUAAAGUGUCCAAGAUAUUUUAUCUGUUCACAGACUGCAAGACUGUUGCUGGACAACUUAAACACAGGAAAAUUAAGCCUUUUAUCCUGGGGGGUUCUGUAGGUUAGAACAACACUUUUGCUCGAGUUAUAUUUUAAAUUAUAUUCCAUUCCAUACCCAGUAGUAACAUCUAGGAGCUGCUGCUGCUGAUUUGUUCAAUUUAGUGAUGAAUCACUCAUGUAGACACUGAGGGUGGUUUCCCAGGAGCACUACUCAGCCUAAAACAGCUCUGUACAGCGUGGUUUGAGUCAGCCCAUCUGAAAGCAGUUUUGUUCCCACGCCAGCUCCAUGAAGCCCCUAGCCAAUCAGCGGCCAGAAUCACGAUACCGGCCCAACUCAGCCUUGCCAGGUACCUCAAUGGAGCAGGGACUAAAAAUAGGGGAGAAAAUACCAAAGCGUGCCCUUGGAAACCGUGGUCGGGCUGAACUGCAUCGGUCCGAGUUGCCCUGAGUAGUGUUCCUGGAAAAGCACCUUAAGGCUGCAGAACCAGGCAUAUCAGCUCUACUAACUCCAACAGACCUGACCGGCAAUCUGAAGUUGCAAGUGUGGUAUUCUGGCCACAGAGCGGUGAGGGUCUGAGUGACAUUUCAUUCACCAUGUAAAGGGUCAUUUUGGCACAUGCUGGCUCAAGAAAAUGAGUUCAAAAUACGAAAAAGUUGUAAAGUAUCACUUUAAGUUAUCUUGGUGUCAUGGUCUGGGGUGAGUCCUCCUCUCUCUGCUAAACCUUCUCUGAGCUUCUCCUGCAGGUGGGCGUGUCAAGGAGUGGACCAGCUGCAGCCCAUCUGCUCAUCAGUUGGCCAGGGACAUAUAAGCUGCUGGGAGACAUCUUUAUUCGCUGGAUGAUUAACUCAACUUCGGUAUCUACGACUCCCGAGCCUGAUUACUGAGUAAUCCGAAUAGAUAUCGUCCAAGUCGUACUUCUAGCCAGAUUGCUGGUUCCUGUGUGUUUUUCCAAGCUUGCCUGAUUUUUGUAAGCUGCCUCUUCUCCAGAUUUCCACCACCACCUUUCACACCGUGCUGCAACCUACCGGACCAGUCCCGCUGUCUCCCAGCCGCUCCCUGGCUGUCCGCUCCAUACUGACCUUACCUUACCGGAUCCUGCUCCCUAUUCCGUGCUCAGCUCCUCCAGUCCUCCAGCAACCUGGAAACCCAGUCCCCUAUAUCCAGCGUGUGUCUCUGUCUCCCACUCCUCACGGACUACCCCCCCAGAACAACUCUUCUCUGGUUUCCCCUGGAUCACAAACUAUAACCCCCCGGAGCCCCAGCUGGAUUUUCCUGCUGCGCUUUUAGUUCACGUUUUAUAAACUUUCUUUUUUAUACCAUA